rnacentral:rRNA from 1 species
UAGGGAAUCUUCGGCAAUGGACGAAAGUCUGACCGAGCAACGCCGCGUGAGUGAAGAAGGUUUUCGGAUCGUAAAACUCUGUUGGUAGAGAAGAACGUUGGUGAGAGUGGAAAGCUCAUCAAGUGACGGUAACUACCCAGAAAGGGACGGCUAACUACGUGCCAGCAGCCGCGGUAAUACGUAGGUCCCGAGCGUUGUCCGGAUUUAUUGGGCGUAAAGCGAGCGCAGGUGGUUUAUUAAGUCUGGUGUAAAAGGCAGUGGCUCAACCAUUGUAUGCAUUGGAAACUGGUAGACUUGAGUGCAGGAGAGGAGAGUGGAAUUCCAUGUGUAGCGGUGAAAUGCGUAGAUAUAUGGAGGAACACCGGUGGCGAAAGCGGCUCUCUGGCCUGUAACUGACACUGAGGCUCGAAAGCGUGGGGAGCAAACAGGAUUAGAUACCCUGGUAGUCCACGCCGUAAACGAUGAGUGCUAGAUGUAGGGAGCUAUAAGUUCUCUGUAUCGCAGCUAACGCAAUAAGCACUCCGCCUGGGGAGUACGACCGCAAGGCUGAAAC